rnacentral:rRNA from 1 species
AGUGCUUUGAUCCAUGGCUCAGGAUGAACGCUAGCGGCAGGCUUAAUACAUGCAAGUCGAGGGGCAGCAUGACUGUAGCAAUACAGUUGAUGGCGACCGGCAAACGGGUGCGGAACACGUACAGAACCUUCCUUCGAGCGGGGAAUAGCCCAGAGAAAUUUGGAUUAAUACCCCAUAGUAUAUUGAGGAGGCAUCUCUUUAAUAUUAAAGAUUUAUCACUUGAAGAUGGCUGUGCGGCUGAUUAGGUAGUUGGCGGGGUAACGGCCCACCAAGCCUACGAUCAGUAACUGGUGUGAGAGCACGACCAGUCACACGGGCACUGAGACCACGGGCCCGACUCCUACGGGAGGCAGCAGUAAGGAAUAUUGGGCAAUGGAGGCAACUCUGACCCAGCCAUGCCGCGUGGAGGAUGAAGGCCCUCUGGGUUGUAAACUUCUUUUAUAUGGGACGAAAAAGGGCCUUUCUAGGUCAACUGACGGUACCAUUUGAAUAAGCACCGGCUAACUCCGUGCCAGCAGCCGCGGUAAUACGGAGGGUGCAAGCGUUAUCCGGAUUUACUGGGUUUAAAGGGUGCGUAGGUGGAUUGGUAAGUCAGUGGUGAAAUCUCCGGGCUUAACUCGGAAACUGCCAUUGAUACUAUCAGUCUUGAAUAUUGUGGAGGUCAGCGGAAUAUGUCAUGUAGCGGUGAAAUGCUUAGAUAUGACAUAGAACACCAAUUGCGAAGGCAGCUGACUACGCAUAUAUUGACACUGAGGCACGAAAGCGUGGGGAUCAAACAGGAUUAGAUACCCUGGUAGUCCACGCCCUAAACUAUGGAUACUCGACAUACGCGAUACACAGUGUGUGUCUGAGCGAAAGCAUUAAGUAUCCCACCUGGGAAGUACGAUCGCAAGAUUGAAACUCAAAGGAAUUGACGG